GCUUGACGGUAUCGUAAGAAUAAGGAUCGGCUAACUCCGUGCCAGCAGCCGCGGUAAUACGGAGGAUCCAAGCGUUAUCCGGAAUCAUUGGGUUUAAAGGGUCCGUAGGCGGUUUAAUAAGUCAGUGGUGAAAGCCCAUCGCUCAACGGUGGAACGGCCAUUGAUACUGUUAAACUUGAAUUAUUAGGAAGUAACUAGAAUAUGUAGUGUAGCGGUGAAAUGCUUAGAGAUUACAUGGAAUACCAAUUGCGAAGGCAGGUUACUACUAAUGGAUUGACGCUGAUGGACGAAAGCGUGGGUAGCGAACAGGAUUAGAUACCCUGGUAGUCCACGCCGUAAACGAUGGAUACUAGCUGUUGGAAGCAAUUUCAGUGGCUAAGCGAAAGUGAUAAGUAUCCCACCUGGGGAGUACGUUCGCAAGAAUGAAACUCAAAGGAAUUGACGGGGGCCCGCACAAGCGGUGGAGCAUGUGGUUUAAUUCGAUGAUACGCGAGGAACCUUACCAAGGCUUAAAUGUAGAUUGACCGUUUUGGAAACAGAACUUUCGCAAGACAAUUUACAAGGUGCUGCAUGGUUGUCGUCAGCUCGUGCCGUGAGGUGUCAGGUUAAGUCCUAUAACGAGCGCAACCCCUGUUGUUAGUUGCCAGCGAGUCAUGUCGGGAACUCUAACAAGACUGCCAGUGCAAACUGUGAGGAAGGUGGGGAUGACGUCAAAUCAUCACGGCCCUUACGCCUUGGGCUACACACGUGCUACAAUGGCCGGUACAGAGAGCAGCCACUGGGCGACCAGGAGCGAAUCUAUAAAACCGGUCACAGUUCGGAUCGGAGUCUGCAACUCGACUCCGUGAAGCUG
rnacentral:rRNA from 1 species